UGUUAGACACUUAACGACUUA
rnacentral:piRNA from 1 species